rnacentral:lncRNA from 1 species
UCCAUGCACCGGUUCUCACGAUUCCUUUUUGUUUUGGAUAUUUUUCGAGGAGUGUUUUAUGUUGGGUUGCUAUUUUGAGUUCUGCGAGGUUAUGUGUUUGGUACUACGUCAGGUGUGAUGCCUGAAGCUUCGAGGCUGGGGGUUUGAGCCCCUUGGCCCUUAGAGCCACGAGGUUGAUUUUGCCUAUGUAAUGUUGCACUAUCUUGAGGUUCGAGGCUUGUUUAUGCGAUAGAAAUGCUAUUAUGACUUGUAACAAAACUCGUAGCAAAUAGGAAUAAAUGUUGUUUUUCCCUUUGGAAAAAUGUC